UGGGGAAUAUUGCACAAUGGGCGAAAGCCUGAUGCAGCGACGCCGCGUGAGGGAUGACGGCCUUCGGGUUGUAAACCUCUUUCAGCAGGGACGAAGCGCAAGUGACGGUACCUGCAGAAGAAGCACCGGCUAACUACGUGCCAGCAGCAGCGGUAAUACGUAGGGUGCAAGCGUUGUCCGGAAUUACUGGGCGUAGAGAGUUCGUAGGCGGAUUGUCGCGUCGUUUGUGAAAACCAGCAGCUCAACUGCUGGCUUGCAGGCGCUACGGGCAGACUUGAGUACUGCAGGGGAGACUGGAAUUACUGGUGUAGCGGUGAAAUGCGCAGAUAUCAGGAGGAACACCGGUGGCGAAGGCGGGUCUCUGGGCGGUAACUGACGCUGCGGAACGAAAGCGUGGGUAGCGAACAGG
rnacentral:rRNA from 1 species